rfam:Firmicutes bacterium ASF500 genomic scaffold adhIg-supercont1.4, whole genome shotgun sequence.
CACCCGGCCCUUUUCAGGGCCAUUUUUAUUUUACCAGAGGAACGAAG